GUGGGGAAUCUUGCGCAAUGGGCGAAAGCCUGACGCAGCCAUGCCGCGUGGAUGAUGAAGGUCUUAGGAUUGUAAAAUCCUUUCACCGGUGAAGAUAAUGACUGUAGCCGGAGAAGAAGCCCCGGCUAACUUCGUGCCAGCAGCCGCGGUAAUACGAAGGGGGCUAGCGUUGCUCGGAUUUACUGGGCGUAAAGGGCGCGUAGGCGGACAUUUAAGUCAGGGGUGAAAUCCCGGGGCUCAACCUCGGAACUGCCUUUGAUACUGGGUGUCUUGAGUAUGAGAGAGGUGUGUGGAACUCCGCGUGUAGAGGUGAAAUUCGUAGAUAUUCGGAAGAACACCAGUGGCGAAGGCGACACACUGGCUCAUUACUGACGCUGAGGCGCGAAAGCGUGGUGAGCAAACAGGAUUAGAUACCCCUGUAGUCC
rnacentral:rRNA from 1 species